UACGGAGGGUGCGAGUGUUGUCCGGAAUCACUGGGCGUAAAGGGCGCGUAGGUGGCGCGGGUAGUCGUCGGUGAAAGCUCAGGGCUCAACCCUGAGUCGGCCGGUGAUACUCCCGUGCUUGAGUGUGGUAGAGGCCAAUGGAAUUCCGGGUGUAGCGGUGGAAUGCGUAGAGAUCCGGAAGAACACCGGUGGCGAAGGCGGUUGGCUGGGCCACAACUGACACUGAUGAGCGAAAGCGUGGGGAGCGAACAGG
rnacentral:rRNA from 1 species